GACGAACGCUGGCGGCGUGCUUAACACAUGCAAGUCGAACGGAAAGGCCCUGCUUUUGUGGGGUGCUCGAGUGGCGAACGGGUGAGUAACACGUGAGUAACCUGCCCUUGACUUUGGGAUAACUUCAGGAAACUGGGGCUAAUACCGGAUAGGAGCUCCUGCUGCAUGGUGGGGGUUGGAAAGUUUCGGCGGUUGGGGAUGGACUCGCGGCUUAUCAGCUUGUUGGUGGGGUAGUGGCUUACCAAGGCUUUGACGGGUAGCCGGCCUGAGAGGGUGGCCGGCCACAUUGGGACUGAGAUACGGCCCAGACGCCUACGGGAGGCAGCAGUGGGGAAUAUUGCACAAUGGGCGGAAGCCUGAUGCAGCAACGCCGCGUGCGGGAUGACGGCCUUCGGGUUGUAAACCGCUUUCGCCUGUGACGAAGCGUGAGUGACGGUAAUGGGUAAAGAAGCACCGGCUAACUACGUG
rnacentral:rRNA from 1 species